CCUACGGGCGGGCAGCAGUGGGGAAUAUUGGACAAUGGGGGGAACCCUGAUCCAGCCAUGCCGCGUGUGUGAAGAAGGCCCUCGGGUUGUAAAGCACUUUCAGUGAGGAAGAACGCCUGGUGGUUAAUACCCAUCAGGAAAGACAUCACUCACAGAAGAAGCACCGGCUAACUCCGUGCCAGCAGCCGCGGUAAUACGGAGGGUGCGAGCGUUAAUCGGAAUUACUGGGCGUAAAGCGCGCGUAGGUGGCUUGAUAAGCCGGUUGUGAAAGCCCCGGGCUCAACCUGGGAACGGCAUCCGGAACUGUCAAGCUAGAGUGCAGGAGAGGAAGGUAGAAUUCCCGGUGUAGCGGUGAAAUGCGUAGAGAUCGGGAGGAAUACCAGUGGCGAAGGCGGCCUUCUGGACUGACACUGACACUGAGGUGCGAAAGCGUGGGUAGCAAACAGGAUUAGAUACCCGAGUAGUC
rnacentral:rRNA from 1 species